ACACAGAAGGAGACAUUGAAGGUGUGAGUGCCCUGACGCUGUGGUCAGCAGUCUGGUCCCCGGGGGCACGCGGGGAGGGACAGAGGGAAGGGGAGCUAGGCUGCAGCUGCAGGACUGGACCUGCACUGGGCUCUGCCCAGCAGUAGGGGUGCGGCCUCUGGCAGACUGACCGCCCUUUGUGGUCUUCCCUCUGUGAAGCGAGGAUUAUUAUUCCUAAUAACGUAGUACAGGAUUUUUCAUAUCUUACUUUAGGUAACCUGUAUAGCAACCGUAGGAGGAAGAUGUUGUUAUUCCUAUUUUAAAAAUGAAGAAGGCCAGGGAUGUGGCUCAGUGGUAGAGCAAUUGCUUAACAGGCCCAAGGCCCUGGAUUUGAUCCCAAUACCACAAAAGCAAAUAAAUAAAUAAUAGAAAAAUGAUUGAAUAACCUAUAUAACCACCCAGUAGGCGAGUGGGAAGGCAGCAUUUCCUGGGCCACAUUCCAGUAUUAUCUCGCCUACCUCUGGGAGUCACGAGAGCGCCAUGUAAUAACAGGAAAGCAAUACAGAAACCUUAAGUCACCAUCGCCAGUGCCACAAUGUUUUCUUUAGUCAUUUAGCCAUUUUUGCCUUUUUCAUUUUCUGCCAAGAAAGCCACCGGAGGAAAAACAAAUUGUCUACUUGGGUAUUUAUGGCCUCCCUAUAGUAUUCCAAGUAGCUGGUGUCUACUUCUGGCUGUUCAGUUUGGGCUCCCGUCCACAAAUGUAAAGGAACCAUGGUAAUCACUGCAAACAUUUACUGUGCUCUGGAAGAGGGGAUUUUCUGUGAAAGGCUAGACUGAGCUUGAGGGUUAUUAAGCUGAUACAUUAAUUCCCUGCAGAACACAGCAGAGUCUGUAUUUGUCUCUCAGUUACCUGCAACUUCCACACCCUGUGGUUGACGUGCAGGUCCCAGGUGCUGCAGGGAGACAAAGAUGGCCUCCCCCUCGCAGGCACCAUGGCAACCCUACUCGGACAGGACUCUGAACAUCUUAUCAAGUGUUCCUGCUGAAAGCUGGGUACAAAGGAGGGUGAAACCAAAACCUUUUGGGGAAGAAGAGCUUCAGAAGCAGCUCCCCUUGAGUACCUUUCUGAAUCAAGCACACCACCUCAUGGGAUCCCCACCCCUACCCUCUUGCAGGGCAGAAGGUAUCCUCCUUCCACCUCCAAACACGACAAGUUCAGAGGUGGGGGCAAAGGCCCAAGAAUUGCCAAGAGUGACUGGCUCUGAAGCCUGAGCUUUCUCACACCUCCACACAAAUGUGGAGGGACAACAUCAAAGAAAUGUCAUUAAAUUUAAAUUUGUGACCACUUUUUGGCUCUAAAUAUAAGCAUGUUAGCCCACCCUACACACACACUAUCUUGUUACAUUAUGGCAUUCUGGUUUGCCUCUUAAAUGGCAGGAGGGAGGGCACACUGACCAUGUCCCUGGGAUUUUCAAGAAGGAAUUCCCUGGGGCAAGUAUGUAAGGGAAAGACACACAAGGUCCCCCAUUUGACUCAGGAAAUCCCCGUCCUGACAGUCCCAGAGAAACCUUGCCAAGCAGGAGCCCAAACUGAGGGACACAGGAGAUUAGGUUCAAAGCUGAAGAGUUUCACCGGCCGCCAUUUUGGGCUUGGGCCUGCAACUCCCCCGCAACCGAAUCCCAUUCCUCUAGCUAACCUCAAUCCCACAGCCACACUGGCAGACCUUCAGAGAAAUUUGGGAAACUGAAAAGUUCCACCUGGGCCUGUUUGGCAUCAUCUCUGCCAAGUGCAGCACCAGGCCUGGGCAGAGUAUGUGCCAGGGAAAAUCAGCUCCCAGCAGGGAAAGAUUAAAUAUGGGUGUCAUCGGACCCACAUGACCUGGAGUCAGAUCUUGUUAUAAAGUGUGCUGGCGCAGAGUGCGAAUGCUUCCCCUGCUAAAACUCUAGCGUAUUUCUGUCCUUAUCUCACAGUAUUUUUCUCCCUGGGGGGAAACUUAUUUUUUUUCCUCAGCCAGUUGGAAUCCUCAUCUAAACUAAGUGAACUUUUUAAAGCCUAAGUAAUCAUAAGAAGAAAGGAAAGGAGAAACUGGAGAGUUUGAAUUAUUUCUUUUGGCAAGUCUUAUAAACUAAUAGCUUUUAAAAAAAAAAAAAAUUUUAAUUUUCUUACAGGCUCAGAACAUAAUGUCUGAGGAGGGAUUAUAUUCCUGAACAAAACAAGAAAUAAUUUAGGGGUGUGAUAAAUGUGAUUUAAAAAAAUGUCUCUCUUCCUUAAAUAAUGGUCAGGAAUUGAAAGGCAAUCAGAUAGAGCUCCUGGACCUUAAUAGGUGAAAAAGAGCAGAAGAAAAUUCCACCAUGUGUCUACCACUGACAAAUGGCUUCGCAGACGUGGUGUGUUCUUACCAAGGAAUGUUAGCUACGGAGAGGAGAGGAAGGAAGUAUGGAUGGACCUAGCAUGAAAGAAGCCAGAUACUGAAUCACAAAGGCCACAUCUUAUAUGAUUCUAUUUAUAUGAAAUGUCCAGGUAAGCGAAAUCCACAAGUCAGAAAGCAGAUUAUUGUUACCUCAGGCUGAGAAGGACAAAGGAGUCUGGGCGGGGCAGGGGUGACGGGUGAAAAGUUAUGGGGAUUUCUUUUUUGGGUAAUGAAAAUGUUCUAAAAUCAAUUGUGGGGAUGGAUGCAUGAACCUGAAUAUACUCACAGCCACUGAACUGAGUAUUUUAAAUAGGCGAAUUGUAUGUUGUGUGAAUUAUAUCUCAGUAAAGAACAUGAGUGGUAGCACAUGCCUGCAACCCAGCUACUCAAGAGAGUGAGGCAGGAGGAUCGCAAAUUCAUGCCCAGAGAACUUGGCAAGACUCUGUCUCAAAAUAAAAUAAAAUAAAAUAAUAAAAUAAAAUAAAAUAAAAAGGGCCGCAGAUGUACUCAACACUCCCUGGGUUCAAUCCCCAGUACCACACACACACACACACACACACACACACACCCCCUACAAAGGCUCUUAAGUAUUUUCCCUAUUUUACAGGAAGACAAUGGGCACUUUCUGCAGCUGGCUACUGAGUGCCGUCAAGGGUUAACUCUUCUUGUGCAGAUACAAAGGAGACACAGGGAUGGGCCUGCGUCGUCGUCGGGCACCCCAGAAAUCUCCAGGGAAAGUUCAGGCAGUGGUGGGGUGGCGUGACAUGUGAGCUGGCCAAAGGAGGAAGCAGUGGCUAAAGCCCUGCACUUGGGGCAGCCAGGUGGCAUCGGGCUGUCGGUCCCCUCUGAGAGCCCCUGGCCACGACACAGGGUGACAGAAGUCAGCCCAGAGCCCUCGGGUGGGGAGGGCUCUUAGGACGAGUGACAAGGAUAUUUAGAAUCAGUCUGUUUUUCACCCCUUCCACCCCAGACUCCCAAGUAUUUGUUGCUUCCAGUUGCCUGGUGACCUAACAAACGCUGGUCCGUGUCCAGCAGAGCAGUGACUCUCAGUGUGGUUUGAGAGACAGUUGCACACAUCUGCCUCCUUGACGCGCGUGGGACCGGCCAAGCCUCCUCGUCAUCGCCACGGAAUGUGUGCGCGGAACCAGCCCCGAUUCGCUCAUCGCCCAGUUUCCAGCUCAGCCACAGGCAACGAGGAUGGGAUCCACCACAGACCUCCGGAAAAGGAGGGCAGCGGGCUCCAGGAUGAACGCUGUGGUCACCAUAUCCACCUUGUCACGUGACAGUGCAGGAGCCUCGGGCACAGACGGCCCAGCGGGGCUGGGAGUACGGCAGACUGGGGCCAAGCAGGCCUUUCCAACUUACCUCGCUUCCCAGGAGGGGAUCCCACAGUUAUUUCACCUCCAAAGGACAGAAAACACCUAUUUCCAUUCCCUUAACCCUGUCUGCUGCUCUGACGGGUUACAGGUGCUCCUGUAAGAACAGGUGUGUGCAUGGGUGUGUUUCAGAAUGCAUGUGCGUGCACAUACACACAAACACACACACACACACAGUCCACUCCACUGCCUGUCUAUGAAGAGGAAAAAGGACCCUGUGUAACAAUCACAAUACACCAGCCCCAAACCCACUAACAUCCCUUAUAUUAUAAAAUUGCAUGGUAUUUACAUACCUCCCCUACACUUUAAAUCUUUUGCAGAUUCCUCAUAAUACCUUAUACAAUACAAAUGCUACAUAAAAGAUUCUACUGUAUUUAUGGAAUAAUGAUAAGGAAUCAAAAUCUGCACAUGUUCAGGAAGGACACAAUCCCCCCCCCCCCGCCAAAUGUUUCCCAUCCAAAAUUGUAGUGGAUAGAAAAGCAUUUCUAUUAAGUUUUAUAAUUUUUAAAAGUUUUAUAAUUUUUUGAAAAAUAUAUACAGAACUAGGUAGUGAGAAGAUGCUUGUGGAAUUAAAUUUACCUUCUCAUCAUAACUAUAUGAUGUUAAGAUGAUACUAAAACAAGUUAACCAAAUGUUCCUGGAAUGCACGAGUAGGACUAACUGCAGGGAGAAGGGACCCACACGGCAUGCCAGGGCUUAACCCCAGAAGAUGCUCAAGGCUGAUUCCCAGGCUGCUGAAGCUCUGUGUGUCUGUGAGACCCACAUAUGUUUUUUGCUGGCAUUUUUAGACUGAGCUCGUGCAGACACUGGGGCCAUACGCGCAUCUCUGCAGCCUACAGCCUCACACCUCCCCAGAGAGCUUACUAAAGCUUACAGUCACCCGCCCACCGGCUCGGUGAGUGCAUCUGCAUGUGCCUGUCCAUCUGUGCUGGUCAGCUUGAUCUCGGGCCAUGCGUCUGGCUCUGUGCACCCACACUUCCUGUCCACUCCCCAUCGGCCCCCCGGGAGGAGCCAGACCUGCAGGAGGUUCCCCAGGGCUCAGCUCCGGCUUCCUGCAUGCUCCACCGUUCUAGGGCUCCCCAGAAUUGCAGGCCUUCUGCCCUCACCUCAUUCUCAAAAGCAAAAGCAGGAAGCAGGUGGGAAAAGCACUGUGAAGAUUUCCCUAACCCACACUGACAGCAGGGCUGGGUAAGGAGGAAGGUGCAGGCGGACCUCGCUAGCGGACACCCACUGGACACCAUCACCAGGACUGCUGCUGGGACUAAGUUCCAAGGCCCCUCCCAUCAUACUAGCCACGUGCCUCAGUUUCCUCAUCUAUAAAACGGGGACUGACCUAUCUGCCCGCGGCUGGUAUCAGCACGCUGGCUGCAUCUGUACUUGACAUCCUUAUUAUACGCACAAGGUCUUAGAAUUACUGUCGUUAUGCUUACACUCUCAUUUAAGCAAAAGGAAAACCUAACCAUCGCCUCUGUCAGCCGCCACGGCAGUUUAAUAAUACAACACGAGCCCUGGAAGAGGGCUGUGCGGAUCCCCCUGGCUUUGUCCGUGAGUGUGGAAACAGGAUCCCCAGAGCCGCAGCAGCCAUCCACUGUGGGCGUGCUGCCAAGCAGGAGAAACAUGAUGUUUUACUGAGUUGGAGUCACACAAGAAAUGGACUCGAGGCUUAGAGUACAUCAUGCCUAACAUGGUGGCCUGCACUUGAUGUCCACUGUGAAGAAAAGCUCACACAACCCAAUUCAUGCCGGGGUCGGGGGAGGAGAGGGGCGGCCCUCAGCGAGCAGCUGCCGGCUGAAUCCGGUGUUAAGCGAUCAGUGUGGACGGACAGCAGAGGCUCUGCAUGCCCAACACUCUCAGAGCAGGAAGCAGGAAGCCCAUACGAGGAGCAGCCCGGCUGGGCCCGGAGGGGAUAUCACGGGGACUGCAGGCUCCACAUGCCUGUCACCAAGGUCCGGGCUCGGGGAGCCAGCAGACACACGGGAUGGUGGGGUUAGGGGCACGUUCAUUCAGCACGGAUGAGCCGAACCUUGGUGGAAGGAGCCGGUGGGGAGGUGCGGCGGGACAGCAGCAAACCUCCAGGGGCUUGGGACACACUGCAUACGCAGAACCAGCCUGUGACACCCAGGAAGAUGAGGAAGAUGAGGAAGUCCAAGUCACUGCUCCUGCUUAAUCGGUGAGGUUAUAGGCGAUUCUCCACCACACCGUGGAGGUUCAGUGCUGGGAGAGCCAGACACCCAUCCCUACGGCGGGGAACAGGACGCUGUCGCCAUUUCGCAUGUCCGUAAAUACCUCUUAGGUGCAAAAUGACUGCAUGCACGAGAUGUCAUUAUUAUUGUAAUGAAAUAAUUUUGUAUACAGGUUCAUGCACGUUUAAAUAAAAGGAGGACAAAAAAUUAAUCCUGAAAGGUAUAUAGUAAAAUUGAGCAGUGAUUUUGCUAUUUCUUUGCUUAUCUGCAUUUCUGCCUUUUAAACAAUAGUAUUCAGCAUGAGUUACUUGUCCAGUUAGGGCAGCCCAAGGCCACACAGCAUGUCACUUGCGGAGCUCAACCUGACCCAGCUGUAUCCAGAGCCAAGCCCAGCCACAGCAACCACUUCCAGGAAAGCGGCACUUGGCCCACAGGCUGCUGCUGAAGUUGAUCCACUGGCCCCAGGGAGCCCAGCAUUGGGGAGCAACAGCGACCCUAACUGGGGAGACCCUGGGAAAGCAGCUCCACGCUAAGGAAGCCAGGGCCUUGCUUAGGGACAGCUAUUUCCAGCUCCUCACGAGGAAGAGCCUUAUUAUCCACAAGGGCUUUGCUUUAACCACAAAUAGAACCAUCUGCCGCUCACAGGGCAGGGUGGGCGCCAGUUUUGAUGGCACGGUCCGGCACGAAGCACCGGGUCUAGUCCCACCGGCAGACCGGAAGGACGCCGGAGGCCAACCUCACCCGGAAAACAACAGGCAGUUGUGCCCGCCCUGCCCAACCUCCUCCUCUGAGUGCCCUUAGGCCUGGGCAGAACAGCGGCUCACACAAGAGCAAGACCUGGAGUUCUGAGGGGCUGGACCUGCAGCCAACACUGGCUUGGAAAGACGUGGAUUCGAAUCCCAGCCUCUGAACUUACUGUGGCUGUGGGAAAACUACAUCUGUAGGCCUCAGUUUACCAACUCCUAAAAUGAGAAUAAAAACACCUCUGCAGUAGUUUUCUUCCAAAGGAUCCUGUAUGUCAGGUCCGGACGGAGCCGUCGCUGUGCCAUGGGAGGCAUGCGGGGCUCCACAGCACAGGACAGGGGUGACCGUGGCUUCUGUCCUGGCAGUGCUCUAUGGCUCUUUGGGUGGGCAGCAGCAGCCCUGCCUCCACCCGGUCUGUGCCAUCCGAAUCGGAGGGGACCCUGAGCUGUCGCCUGGCACAUGAAACUUGGGUGCAAAUUUGUCUGGGGCAGAGCCUGCUCACACGUGCCCCUGAGGAGCACCGUAAGAAACAGUCCCUUUGUGCCAUCAACCUGAGCUCCUCCCUUUUUGUUUGGAUUUGAGACAGGGUCUCGCUGUGUAGUUCAAGCUGCCCUUGAACUCAUUCUGUAACCAAGCUUGUCUUGAAUUCACAGCAAUUCUCCUGCCUCAGCCUCCCAAAUCCUGAGAUUAUAGGCCUGCGCCAGUACCCUUGGCUUCUUGACCUGAGCUGCUUCUGAGCAGGACAGUCUUCCCCCUGGAGUGAGCUGUACCCCAAAUUCAUAUCUACCCAGAACCCUAGACUGUGACCUUGUUUAGAAACAGGGUCUCUGCAGGUGUAAUGGAUCCAGGACACCGUCAAAAUGGAAUCAUCCUGGGUUUCCAGCAGGCACUAAAUUGACAAAAUUAGUAAAGUAGUGUCCUUAUCAGAAGAGGGGAAGAUGGGUACCAGCCAAGGGAAACCACCAAUGGCCAGAAGCCACCGAGCUGGAAGAGGCCAGGAGGUGUCUUUCCCGGAGCACGUGGCCCCGCCGACACCUUGACGUGGGACUUCCGGCUUCCAGGAUGAGGAGCACCCCCAUCGGCAGUCUCCAGUCCCUUCCACAGUUACCUCUGUCCCACGCAUGGAUUUGGGGGAGCCUUGAUCUACCCUCCUGCUGCACCUGCUGUGACAGGACCUAAGCAUCAGACUUGGGGACCCCAGCCAUCCUGGCCAAAGCCCAAGCUUGGAGCGCGUACACUGGCACACACCCACAUGCUCUCCACUCCAAACUUCCAAGAAUACCGUGCUGCCAAGAAAGGGCUCUAACUCCGUCUCUCAAUGGCCGCCUCCCAGUGGGGGAGGAAGGUUUUCUUUGCAGGUUGGUUGAGCUUUCUUUCCAGCUGUGGUAAGCUGCAGUGUGAACUGCCUCACCAAAUCUGGCUGCCCUGACCUGGGCUGCCUGAGCAACGUGGCACCCAAGGGUGCUCAACAGAGCAGCGAAGCCUGCUGCCCUGGCAGGACCCUGGCACCCAGACUGGACCUGAAAGGCACUGCCACCCUUCCCUUCUUGGCUUGGUCGUGCUUUUUGCUGGAUGAGCCCUGUCUCCCUUCCGCCUCUCUUUAAACACUCAAGGACAUCUGAAGUCAAUAAAAUACCCACAACUGCUUCCCCAGUGCAAGCCCUCCCUGUGUCCCUUGCCAGGGAAGGGCAGUGCUACAGGACUUUGCUCUGUGGCCGGGGUGGCCACUUCCCUCUGGGGCAGAUGGCCUGGGAGAGCCAGGGGCUCGGGGAUCUUGGAUGGUUCUCAGCCUGGCUUUCCCACCGAUUUCCUUAAAAAUCACCUCCCAGACUGGAGAUGAAGCUCGUGGUACUGCCCUGAGUUCAGUACUCAGCACCACACCAAAACAAGUAAAAAAGAAAAAAUAAAAUCAUCCCUUCUUGGAGCUCCUGCUUUAGCAAAGGAGAGGCAGAGUGGGUGGGACGGUUUCUCGGGCCCUUUCCUAGGCUGACAGCUCCAGAUGGCAGAAUGCCUUCCAUCCCUGCUGUGGAGGAGUCUGCCUGUUCCUCACUCACCCACCCUGUGUUAUUCAGCCCCAUCGAGGCCCAGACACUGGACAUGGGGGCAGGGGCGGCCAGCAUCAGGCUGAGCCCUCAGACAGAGGGGGUGCAGCUGGAGCAAUGUUGGGAGGGCCAGGGCCAGGCCGGGUGGCAGAGGGAGAGACCAGAGAUGCUCAGAGGGGCCAGAGGGGGGGCUCUAGGCUGUCAGGCGGGGGCCAGAUUGGGAAGGAACUUUGGAGUCUUUCUGGGGGCACAGGGAGCUGGGAGGGCCACACGCAGAAGCACAGCAGCGUCGAUCCAGGUUUCUUUAGGAACCAGGUUCUGGGCCACCAGAAAUGCACAUCCUAUCCUCAGCCAGAUCAGAGAACCCCUUCCACGGUCAUCUUGAUCAAAAACCAGGGGGGCCCUCUUCCUUCUGCCCGCCCUCGGGGAGUGAUCAGCAACAGGAGGACCCUGAGACUACAGUCUGCACCCGCAGACCUGCGUCUGCCCCUGCAGCUCCCUCAGCAGGAGUGGGCCAUGGGGUAGACUCCCAAGCCCUCUACGGCUCGCCUUACACCUCCCUGACUCAGUCUCCCGCCUCAGAUUCCUGACCCCGGGACAGGCACACCAGGAGCCCAGAAAUGAGCAAAUGCACACGAAACUACCCAAUGCAGUGCUUGACUUCAAACAACAUGCUCCAUCCACGUGAGGCUCCCUCCUCCUGUCGCCGAGCGGGGCAGGAGCCACGCUCAGGCAGGAGUGAAAAGCCCAAAACAGGAACCGGAGCUGGCACAGACGAACUCGGUGUGGGCUUGGGCAACAGCCUGACGCAAGUGGAUCUGGCACGGCCACGGGAGCUUUGGCAGCCGAGCGGGGCACAGAAGUGCCCUCAUCAACAGCGUCGCGGGUGCUCCCAGAGCUCCGCUCCUCUUGGUUCCUUAGCAACUGCCCUAUUUGGGAGAAUGCUGAGUGCCACAGGGAGCUGGCUCAGGAGCCUGUGCAAGACAGGAAGCACCCCCAAACAGCAUGCAGCGUCUGCCCUGUUCCCCUGCAGCCUGGCCCAGAUGCCGCUGUAAUCUCGGGGCAGAGGGGCCAGGUCCCUGCAGAGAGGCCUUGGUUACCUCCACCGCCCCCAGACAAAGCCCAGCUGCCAUCUGCUGUCCUACAAACCACGGAGCCGGAGCCGCUGACACGGUACAAGGCGGGUAAAGUCACCCAUGGCGGACACAGGCUGUCGACACUCGGGCCCAGGGCAGGCACGGAGGGCACUGCAGAGUCCAGGGGGGUCGCAGGCCUAUGGACUCCUCAGCCAACCGAGGCCUUCUGGAGAGUUCGGGUGUGGACACAGUGUAUCAUUUUAUCUUCACCAACUUUAUUUCGGGGAAUUAAAGAAUUCUGCCAGGCC